GCUGUGGCAUAGGGCACUUCAAAGUGCCUUACUUGGCUGCAGUAAAAGGGGUCGUAUUCUACCUCUGAACAGACAAGUUACAGUAUUUGGGGCACAAGUUGCAUAGCUGGCAACAGGCAAGGAAUGGGGCAUGGUGAAAGAGGGAAGGGAGAACCUGAAGAUGGUUUUCCCAGCCAGCCAAGCCUGCAGAUUAUCUGGGAGCUGCAAUCAGUGUGGGAGGAGAAAGCCUGUUUGAGAGCCAUCCCAAGCUACCAGGUGGCCUCAGGACACUUAAGACUUCAUGAUGGGAAGUGUGAUGGAUAAGGAAAAGCCAAGACAUCCAGCAUGUGACAUACCAAUCCUGCCAGUCACUUUGUGACUGGGUGUGCUGCAGGAUCAGGCUGCCCAGCUCUGUGUGUCUCAGCAUCCAUGCUUCAGCUCUGCUAACCAGGAAGGCCAAAGGCUGAGGGUACCUGGCUUCCUUCCCCAUUCUGCUGCAGGUUUGCUGGCAUGGUUUGGGCACUUUCCAAUCGACAGGAGUGUUUCAAGAUGAUGCAGGGCCUGGAACAAGAUGAUAUGGGGCCUGGAGCAUCUUCCCUAUGAGGAAAAGGCUGAGAGACCUGGGUCUGUUCAGCCUGGAGAAAAGAAGACUGAGAGGGGAUCUUAUCAAUGUGUAUAAAUACCUGAAGUGUGGG